rnacentral:rRNA from 1 species
CAGUAGCCGCGGUAAUACGAAGGGGGCUAGCGUUACUCGGAAUUACUGGGCGUAAAGGGCGCGUAGGCGGCACGAUUAGUCAGGCGUGGAAUUCCUGGGCUCAACCUGGGGACUGCGCUUGAUACGGUCGAGCUAGAGGAUGGAAGAGGGUCGUGGAAUUCCCAGUGUAGAGGUGAAAUUCGUAGAUAUUGGGAAGAACACCGGUGGCGAAGGCGGCGACCUGGUCCAUUACUGACGCUGAGGCGCGACAGCGUGGGGAGCAAACAGGAUUAGAUACCCCUGUAGUCCCUGUCUCUUAUAC